UACGUAGGUGACCAGCGUUGUCCGGAUUUACUGGGCGUAAAGAGCGCGCAGGCGGUCGUUCAAGUCGAGUGUGAAAGCCCCCGGCUCAACUGGGGAGGGUCAUUCGAUACUGAUCGACUUGAAGGCAGGAGGGGGAAGUGGAAUUCCCGGUGUAGUGGUGAAAUGCGUAGAUAUCGUGAGGAACACCAGUGGCGAAGGCGACUCCUGGCCUGUUCUUGACGCUGAGGCGCGAAAGCUAGGGGAGCAAACGGG
rnacentral:rRNA from 1 species